rnacentral:rRNA from 1 species
UUUAUUAGAAGAGACGCAUUUAUUAGAUAAAAAGCCAAUGCAUGCUUUUACAGUAUGGAAAUUGGUGAUUUAUAAUAACUUGGCAAAUCGCAAAGUGAAAACAGGCGAUAAAUCAUUCAAGUUUCUGACCUAUCAGCUUUCGACGGUAUGGUAUUGGCUUACCGUGGCAGUGACGGUUAACGGGGGAUUAGGGUUCGAUUCCGGAGAGGGAGCCUGAGAAACGGCUACCACAUCUAAGGAAGGCAGCAGGCGCGCAAAUUACCCAAUUCUAACAGUUUGAGAGAGGUAGUAACAAGAAAUAACAAUACAAGGCAAUUAAAAUGYUUUGUAAUUGGAAUGAUAGAAAUUUAAACCCYUUUUAAAGUAUCAAUUGGAGGGCAAGUCUGGUGCCAGCAGCCGCGGUAAUUCCAGCUCCAAUAGMGUAUAUUAAAAUUGUUGCAGUUAAAAAGMUCGUAGUUGAAGUUCUGCUAAAAGUAACCGGUCUGCUUUUAAUAAAAGUGGUAUCUUGGUGUGUAUUUAGCAAUGAUGUCCUUUGAAGUGUUUUUUACUUUAUUGUAAUAAAGCAUAUUCAGGACUUUUACUUUGAGAAAAUUAGAGUGUUUCUAGCAGGCCGACGCUUUGAAUA